ensembl:misc_RNA 7SK 7SK RNA
UGAUGUGAGGGCAAUCUGGCUAAGACAUCUGUCACUCCAUUGAUCACCAGGGUUGAUUCAGCUGAUCUGGUUGGCUAGGAGAGUGUCCCCUUCCUCCCUUACCACUCCAUGUGAGUCCCUCUGGAAGUUGCACUCUUGGUGGAAGAGGACUGCCUUCCCCGAAUAGAGAUGGACCCUUCUUCAGUGGAGAGUAUAGGAGUAGCUGUUCUCCCCUGCUAGAACCUCCAAACAAGCUUUCAAAGGCCAUUGCUAGUUCUUUUAGAUGCUGAGAAGCAGAUAAGCAAAAGAUAAGAACAGAUAAGGGACUGGCUGGGUGAGACAGAGGGAGUGACAGAGAGAAGUCACCAUAGUGCCCAAACUU